rnacentral:rRNA from 1 species
GACGAACGCUGGCGGCGUGCCUAAUACAUGCAAGUCGAGCGGACUUGCAGGAGUGCUUGCCCUCCUGAGAGUUAGCGGCGGACGAGUGAGUCACACGUAGGCAACCUCCCCUCAAGACUGGGAUAACUACCGGAAACGGUAGCCAAUACCGGAUAAUUUAUUACAUAGCAUUGUGUGAUAAUGAUAGACGGAGCAAUCUGGCACUUGCGGAUGAGCCUGCGGCGCAUUAGCUAGUUGGGGGGGUAGCGGGGCACCAAGGCGACGAGGGGUAGCCGACCUGAGAGGGUGAACGGCCAGCCGGGGACUGAGACAGGGCCCAGACUCCUACGGUAGGCAGCAGUCGGGAAUCUUACGCAAUGGGGGAAAGCGUGACGGAGCAACGCGGCGUGAGUGAUGAAGGUGUUCGGAUCGUAAAGCUCUGUUGCCAAGGAAGAACGACUGCUAGUGUAACUGGGAUGAGAGUGACGGUACUUGAGGAAAAAGCCCCGGCUAACUACGUG